GCACUUCGGGAGACUGAGGCGGGCGGAUCACAAGAUGAAGAGUUACCUAAGUCAGUGUUAUAAGAUGUUCCAUGGUAAAAGGGAUUUGAAGACAAAUUUUGGAAAUGCUGCAUACUGUAUCUCUCUUGAAGACUCCUAAAGGUGUCAUGAAGAAAACUGUUUACCUAAGUGGUUCCUAACACUGACUGAACAUCAGGCUUUCCUGGGCAGCUUUAAAAAUUCUGAUGCCCAGACUUUAUGUGGACUAAUUAAAUCAGAAUUUCUGGUUGCA
rnacentral:lncRNA from 1 species